rnacentral:lncRNA from 1 species
ACAAAGGUAUUUGAUGCUAGAAAACUCGUCAAGGCUAGAGAAAGCCCCGAAACACGCCAGAGUUGAAAAAUGCCCGGGAGCACGACAAGGCUGCAAAAGAUAUGGAAGCUUGCAAGGGCUAGAAAAAUGCCCGAAAACUUUUCAAGCCAUUAUUAUAUCACUCGGAUCAAUUUUUGCCAAGACAAGAUCUUAAACCUGAUUGGUUGGCAAGGCAAGUAAAAAGAAAGCAAGGA